UUCCUAAUACCGUCUUCAGGACCCUUUUAUACCCAUAGGAAGGGAAGACGUGGCACGUGGGUGACGUCAUCGCCAGGCUUUCUAAAGGUCAGAGUGAGCGGCUUCUUUACAGCAGGAGGUUUUUGUACGACCACUGAGCGAGUUUGUAUCACUGUGGAGCACUUUUGGUGGCGGCACAAAACUCUCAGUUGGACGUGAGUAUCUUUCACUGCUUAUCCAAAAGUUCGUAUUUUCUGAAAUAAUAAUCGAUAUGUUUGAUCUUUGAUAAUGAUGGAGACUUAAAACAUGUUGCGGUUGCAUUUCUUGUGGUUUACGGUGCAACAGGUGUUACGAGGUAAUUUAUCUAAUAAUAUAAUGUAUGUUUGUAUUUUGUUUAAUUAUUUUAAAAAUCUGAAAAGCGUUUGGCUAAGUUUAUGAGUUUUCUAAAGCAUUAAUGUCGAAGCUCCAUAUUACGCGGUAUAUAGUGGAGAGAGCGGCGUGUUUAGAUCAGGAGGUUUUUGUUCGGACAGUAAACGAGAUUGUAGCUCUGUGGUGGACUUUCGGUGGCGGAACAAAACUAUCAGUUGGACGUGACGCCCCGCCCACCCUCACGGUCCUGCCCCCCUCCAGUGUACAGCUGCAGCAGGAGAAGGUCACACUCGUGUGUCUGGCCAACAAGGGCUUCCCCUCAGACUGGAAGCUGAGCUGGAAGGUGGCUGGUAGCAGCUGGAGCUCGGGGGUGAGCCAGAGCUCCGGGCUUCUGCAGAAGGAUGGCCUCUACAGCUGGAGCAGCACCCUGACCCUCCAGAAGGAGGAGUGGCUGAAGAAGACAGUGACCUGUGAGGCCACCAAGGACUCCCAGUCUCCUGUCACACAGACACUGAGUAGAGAGCAGUGUGCUGAGGCGUGA